UACGUAGGGCGCAAGCGUUAUCCGGAAUUAUUGGGCGUAAAGAGCUCGUAGGCGGUUUGUCGCGUCUGCCGUGAAAAGUCCGGGGGCUCAACUCCGGAUCUGCGGUGGGUACGGGGCAGACUAGAGUGAUGUAGGGGGAGACUGGAAUUCCUGGUGUAGCGGUGAAAAUGCGCAGAUAUCAGGAGGAACACCGAUGGCGAAGGCAGGUCUCUGGGCAUUAACUGACGCUGAGGAGCGAAAAGCAUGGGGGAGCGAACAGG
rnacentral:rRNA from 1 species